rnacentral:rRNA from 1 species
UGCCUACGGGCGGCAGCAGUGGGGAAUAUUGGACAAUGGGCGCAAGCCUGAUCCAGCCAUGCCGCGUGAGUGAUGAAGGCCUUAGGGUUGUAAAGCUCUUUCAGUGGGGACGAUAAUGACGGUACCCACAGAAGAAGCCCCGGCUAACUUCGUGCCAGCAGCCGCGGUAAUACGAAGGGGGCUAGCGUUGUUCGGAUUUACUGGGCGUAAAGCGCACGUAGGCGGAUCGUUAAGUCGGGGGUGAAAUCCUGGAGCUCAACUCCAGAACUGCCUUCGAUACUGGCGAUCUUGAGUCCGGAAGAGGUGAGUGGAACUCCUAGUGUAGAGGUGGAAUUCGUAGAUAUUAGGAAGAACACCAGUGGCGAAGGCGGCUCACUGGUCCGGUACUGACGCUGAGGUGCGAAAGCGUGGGGAGCAAACAGGAUUAGAUACCCUAGUAGUCA